rnacentral:rRNA from 1 species
AGUGAACGCUGGCGGUAGGCCUAACACAUGCAAGUCGAACGGCAGCACAGUAAGAGCUUGCUCUUACGGGUGGCGAGUGGCGGACGGGUGAGGAAUACAUCGGAAUCUACUUUUUCGUGGGGGAUAACGUAGGGAAACCUACGCUAAUACCGCAUACGACCUACGGGUGAAAGCAGGGGAUCUUCGGACCUUGCGCGAUUGAAUGAGCCGAUGUCGGAUUAGCUAGUUGGCGGGGUAAAGGCCCACCAAGGCGACGAUCCGUAGCUGGUCUGAGAGGGUGAUCCGCCACACUGGAACUGAGACCCGGUCCCGACUCCUACGGGAGGCAGCAGUGGGGAAUAUUGGACAAUGGGCGGAAGCCUGAUCCAGCCCUACCGGGUGGGUGAAGAAGGCCUUCGGGUUGUAAAGCCCUUUUGUUGGGGAAGAAAAGCAGCAGGUUAAAACCCCGCUGUUCUGACGGUACCCAAAGAAUAAGCACCGGCUAACUUCGUG